rnacentral:rRNA from 1 species
UAAUGUAUGGGGAUCUGCCCGAUAGAGGGGGAUAACUACUGGAAACGGUGGCUAAUACCGCAUAAUGUCUACGGACCAAAGCAGGGGCUCUUCGGACCUUGCACUAUCGGAUGAACCCAUAUGGGAUUGGCUAGUAGGUGGGGUAAAGGCUCACCUAGGCGACGAUCUCUAGCUGGUCUGAGAGGAUGAUCAGCCACACUGGGACUGAGACACGGCCCAG